AUUAUUUGCUCACAAAGAAGUGAGAAGAUUAUCCCAGCGUCCAAAGGUCUUAAAGCGUUAUUCCGACUUGAACAAAGCAUGAAGACAAAGCAGAGGGAACACUUUUGCCAAUAAAUCAGAAAUAUCAUUCCAGCUGUCCGCAGUCUGAUUGGGUUAUUCCGGCUUAAACAAAGCAAGACAACUGGGCAGAAGCUCGUAACAACUGUCUACGAUGAAAUUGGACGCACUCCCAGCAAAGACAUAAGAUUAGUGUUCCCCAGCGCCCGCACCCAUGUCAACGUUGUCUUGCGUGUCGAAGUUUGUCGUAUAGUCAACUUGCAGGGUUGACAUUUGAUUUGGUUUGAAAUGUAAUAUUUGCUUUGGGUAGUAAUAUUCUGCAUCAAACCGUGUAUAAAAAAGUACAGCGUGUUUUAUUCAUGAAACUUCUGAUAAAAUGGAUCAAAUCCAAGCGUCAACCCUGCACGUGGU